UCUUUUACAUUUUCUGAGACAUAUCCUGUAAGUACGAAAAAAACAUGUUGGCUAAAAAACUCACGCACGCACGCACACACACACAUCAACAUCGAAUAUGAUUUCUUAGAUUUCUUACAGAAACUUACAGUUAAUUUAUAGCUCUAUGGAAAUUAAAAUCCAUGAUGAUGUCAAUAAACCAUUGAAAUUG
rnacentral:misc_RNA from 1 species